GUGGCUAUGGUGUAUUGGCAGCACGAGAGAUUGUGGUUCUCUUAGAGCGGGUUCAAAUCCCGUUAGCCACCCCA
rnacentral:tRNA from 1 species